rnacentral:tRNA from 1 species
GGCUCGUUGGUCAAGAGGUCAAGACGCCGCCCUCUCACGGCGGAAUCAUGGGUUCGCUUCCCGUACGAGCUA